rnacentral:rRNA from 1 species
UACGUAGGGACCGAGCGUUGUCCGGAUUCAUUGGGCGUAAAGAGCUCGUAGGCGGCUGCUCAAGUCGAAUGUGAAAACUCGAGGCUCAACCUCGAGCCUGCAUUCGAUACUGGGCGGCUAGAGUCUGGUAGGGGGAUCUGGAAUUCCUGGUGUAGCGGUGGAAUGCGCAGAUAUCAGGAGGAACACCUAUGGCGAAGGCAGCUCGCUGGGACGGUACUGACGCUGAGACGCGAAAGCGUGGGGAGCAAACAGG